rnacentral:rRNA from 1 species
GACGAACGCUGGCGGCGUGCUUAACACAUGCAAGUCGAACGGAAAGGCCCUGCUUUCGGGGUACUCGCGUGGCGAACGGGUGAGUAACACGUGGGUGAUCUGCCCUGCACUUCGGGAUAAGCCUGGGAAACUGGGUCUAAUACCGGAUAGGAGCCAUUUUUAGUGUUGUGGUUGGAAAGUUUUUUCGGUGUAGGGUGAGCUCGCGGCCUAUCAGCUUGUUUGUGGGGUAAUUGCCUACCAAGGCGGCGACGGGUAGCCGGCCGGCGAGGGUGGACGGCCACAAUGGGACUGAGAAAAGGGCCAGAACCCCAACGGAGGCAGCAGUGGGGAAUAUUGCACCAUGGGCGCAAGCCUGAUGCAGCGACGCCGGGGGGGGGAUGACGGCCUUCGGGUUGGAAAAUCCCUUCGCUAGGGACGAAGCUUUUUGUGACGGUACCUAGAUAAGAAGCACCGGCUAACUACGUG